UAGGGAAUAUUGGUCAAUGGAUGCAAGUCUGAACCAGCCAUGCCGCGUGCAGGAAGAAGGCCCUAUGGGUUGUAAACUGCUUUUGCCAGGGGAUAAAACGACCAUGCGUGGUUAAUUGAAGGUACCUGGUGAAUAAGCCACGGCUAACUACGUGCCAGCAGCCGCGGUAAUACGUAGGUGGCAAGCGUUGUCCGGAUUUAUUGGGUUUAAAGGGUGCGUAGGCGGUUAUAUAAGUCAGUGCUGAAAUAUCCCGGCUUAACCGGGAGGGUGGCAUUGAUACUGUAUGACUUGAGUAAAGUUGAGGUUGGCGGAAUUGACGGUGUAGCGGUGAAAUGCUUAGAUAUCGUCAAGAACACCGAUUGCGAAGGCAGCUAACUAAGCUUUAACUGACGCUGAGGCACGAAAGUGUGGGGAUCAAACAG
rnacentral:rRNA from 1 species